rnacentral:tRNA from 1 species
GAGUCGGUGGUUCAGUGGUAGAAUGCUCGCCUGCAACGCGGGCGGCCCGGGUUCGACUCCCGGCCGACGCA